CCAUAACAAAAAGACUAAGAUGUUUAAGCGAGGACACAUUCACACUGGCAUCACAUAAUCAUUCAGUGUGUAGGUACAAGAGUGCAUUUGUGUUCAUUUGCAUGUAAUUCCGCUGUCAAUUGCUGUUUUCCGUAUCGAUAGCAGGUUUAAAUACUUUGUGCGGGAUUUGUGUCAGUGCCAUGUGUGCAAAAGACCGGCCGCCGGGUUGCCAUGAGAACAGCAUGGGGCAUCUGGGAGAAUGACGCCAUUGAUUAGCGACUGAGGAUUAGAGAGUGCAAAGCAAUUAUGCACCAUAAUGGCUUUAAGUGCCUGUGUGUGAUUUACAGUUGGUAUGUGUAUAUCGAACAAAUCAGCAGGGGCCCGGCACGACUUCUUCCUGUGCAUGUGCAUGUGUCCAUGACUAGCAAUUUUCUGAAGUGUUAUCUUAAGAGUGUGCCAGCUCUAUGUUUGUCUCCUCUGACCAAUGGUAAACUCGCACUCUCUCACCUUGUCUGUUUUAUUCUUCGGUUCUCUUUGAACUUUUUCUUCUCAAAUCCAUAGCUGGACUGCUCUGUAUGCAGGAGAAUAUCAGCAACCUCCUCUGUUUGAGGAGACCAGUGUCUGGAACAGCACAAUAUCUUACCUACAUCUGUGGUGCGGCCUCUGUUGUGUCAUCAAAAGGAGACGGCUGGGUCAUUGUAUCUCCCACAUUCAAUUGUUUUCAGGUCACUUUUCCAGACGCCAGUCUUUGCAAACAUAACCUCCUUUCUCUCUGUUGCUGCUGCAUUGGAAAUAUUGAUCUCUCUCUCUCUAUCUCUCUGUUUUUACAACGACAAAAAUACAUCAUAGGAUUUGAAGCUGAAACGGCAAAAUAUGCAGACUCAUCAUGCAUUCAGUACGAUACUGUAUAUUGUAGGAGUGAGAGUCUGGGUCGCUGCAGAAGGAUAUAGCAAGUGAUUGCUUGAGUCUCUUUUAGUCCUUGAACCAUCUUCUUCUGCAACUUGCAGGCAAACAUGCUCUCCCCAGACUAAGCAAUAUACUGUGUGGAUGCUAAUAUUGUUAUAUUUAUCUUUAUCAUUACCGUUCUCUGUGUGAACGGGCCUUUAGACAGGAAGAAAGGAAUAAUCUGUGCAUGUGAGUGUAUUCAGGAGUAUCUCAGUGUGACCCUGGAAUCAGUCCUGGCCAAGAAAAUCACAGCAGCGUCACUGAUGAGUAGUGAUUCAAUUACAGCAGUGCAAGGUGUCCUUCUUUCUACCUGCCUUCCGGGUGAUCUCUCCCUCUCUCUAUCGCUCCUUCUAACUCUCUUUUUAACUCUCUUUUUCUGGGACAAUAGGGGACUGAAAGGUGGAGGCCAGCAGCUCUAAAACUACUUCUGGUACUGUGGGGCUGAUUGUUAAGGGUGGCUUUGUCUUCCAAAAGUAGGGAAUGUUCUUUCCCUCUGACCACAGUGUGGACGUGAACUCCAGAAAGGACAUGCCAUGGAGACAUUCUGGAACUGUUGCCUUGGAAACAGUAAUCAUGGCUUGAGCAAGGGGUGAAAUGGAAGAGUUUUUUGAGGGUGGAAGAGUGUAAUCCCCUCCACCUCGUUAUUAGAGCUGCAAUUGAGUCAAAGAUUAGGCAGAGAUGGAGACCCCAUUCCACAUCCGCCUCAGCUGUUCCCGAAGGAAGACAAACACGCCCGACGCCAAUAAAACCGCAGCGCAAUGCUCCCCCAACAUCGCCGAACGUAUGAACUUCGCGGGGAGCCGCAGAACCCUCACCAGCUCCCCACAGUUCCGGCUGCAGAUCCAGCGUGUAAUAGAAGAUGAUAAAUUAUGGAUCCCUUAUCUGGCUCCAAGGAUAAACCAAUCUGAUUCACGGGCCAAUUAACAAGCAUUCUUGCACCUCGACGGAGCGUGCUCAGUGUCUCAUGAAUGAGUGGCAUGCGCCGAGAACGGCACGAGAAGAAGCGCAGAUUUUAUGUGAUUCUCAUAACACAUUCUCUAUCAAACAACAUGCGUUUCCUUGAACAUAUUUAUAUUUUAUGAUUCUACGAUAUAUAAUAUAUCGCCCAAUUGAUGUUCAACAUGUUUCAUGACUUGUUUUUUUUAUUCUCACCAUCUGUAUUCUGACUGAAUGGUUUAAAAAUGGUUUCUUUCUUAGCUCCCCCCCCCCCAACUGCUCUUCUUCAUCUUACACCUGACUCAUCCUCACCUCUAACCUCACACUACAGAGAGGCUUUGGAUGAAGCGUAAUGAUGGUCAGACAGAGCAGCUCUGAGACGCGGGAGGGGUUGUGUUCUGAGGGCACUCUUUUGGUGCGUGGCGCUCUGAAGCGGGCUGCGUUUGAUCUCCUCGAAAUGCCACAGGUUAUUGUGUUUCUGCUUAAAGUGGUCUUACAGGAGACGUGGAAUUCUGUCAGCUCUGGGGCUGGUUUGAGAAACGGUAGGGGGAUUUUAAAGAAGGUGCUGUUGUGCUGUUCAUGUGAGCACUAAGUCUGUAAACAUUUAUUUUUAAACUGUAUCGUACGUAUUUCAUAGUUCUUGUGUGAUAAAACAGAGAGGAAAUGUUAUUAUUUAGAGCAAAAUGUGUUUUUUUUCCACUUUCAUUUCACACUCAUGUACACCUAGCCUACAGUACAUUAGGUUGGUGUAAAGAGAGAGAGGAAAAAACAAUAAAAAAAACUAAGACGAAUAUUUCACUUAAAGAAAAACCGUUAAAACACCUCAUAAGAACUUCUUUUGGUGCUAAACUUUGUAAUAUUAGAAUACGGUUUAAAUCACACACACACACAAGAGUGUAUAUUCACUAAUGAUCUACCCUCACAUUCUAUCAACUUCCAGAGACUUGGUUUACUCUAGACUGAAACACAAGGACAUUUGCACAAAAAAUGAAUUGUGUCCACAGAUAGUGUCAUUUACUUGCACUUGCUGUCUGCAGUGUUUUCUAUGGAAGCUUGUUUCCAUCUCAGAGUAUAAAAAGCUGUAUUGCUUUGCUGUAUAUCGACAAAUAUUUCACAAGUGCGGAUAUAUCUCUCAUAUAUUUCACUGUAUCUCACAAUUUGGAUUUUACUAUGUGUGUGUAUAUAUACUGCAUACUCAUUACCUGUCAAAAAGUUGGAAUGAUUAAGAUUUCUGUAUUGUUUUUGAAAGAAGUCUACAUUCAUUUGAUCAAAGUACAGUAAAAACAGUAAUAUUGUGAAAUAUUACAGUUUUAAGCAGUGGAACUGUUUUUAACCAUGAUAACAGAAAUGUUAGUUGAGCACCAUUUCAGCAUAGGCUGAUUUCUGAAGGAUCGCGUGACACUGAAGACUGGAGUAAUGGCUGCUGUGAAUUCAGUUUUACUAUCACAGGAAUAAAUUACAUUUUAAAAUAUAUUCAAAACAUAUUUUAAAUAAUAUUUCACAAUAUUACAGUUCUACAGUAUUUUGACCAAAUAAAUCUUUAAGCUUGGUGAGAAUAUAAGAAACAUUUUCAGGCGUCUUUUUAAUAGUUCAAUAUGUAUUUCAUAUUUAUUUAUGUAGGCUAUACCAGAUGUCUACAUACGGAUUGUGCCAUAAAACUGGAGAAAAAAAAUGUAAA